rnacentral:rRNA from 1 species
GAUGAACGCUGGCGACGUGCUUAACACAUGCAAGUCGAACGGGAUCCCAGGAGCUUGCUCCUGGGUGAGAGUGGCGAACGGGUGAGUAAUGCGUGACCGACCUGCCCCAUACACCGGAAUAGCUCCUGGAAACGGGUGGUAAUGCCGGAUGCUCCAGUUGGAUGCAUGUCCUUCUGGGAAAGAUUCUAUCGGUAUGGGAUGGGGUCGCGUCCUAUCAGCUUGAUGGCGGGGUAACGGCCCACCAUGGCUUCGACGGGUAGCCGGCCUGAGAGGGCGACCGGCCACAUUGGGACUGAGAUACGGCCCAGACUCCUACGGGAGGCAGCAGUGGGGAAUAUUGCACAAUGGGCGCAAGCCUGAUGCAGCGACGCCGCGUGCGGGAUGACGGCCUUCGGGUUGUAAACCGCUUUUGACUGGGAGCAAGCCCUUCGGGGUGAGUGUACCUUUCGAAUAAGCA